rnacentral:rRNA from 1 species
AGGUGGGAGCAAUAUACAUUGCGCACCAUCAUCCGACUGGUCUAGCUUUUUUAGUUACCGGCUCGCGAUUGAGCGUAUAUGCUGGGACCCGAAAGAUGGUGAACUA